rnacentral:rRNA from 1 species
AUGGAGGCGACGGGGGUGAGCUUGGGGAAGGCCGCGUUGGGCGGCGCACUGGGCUAUGCAACGUCCAAGGCGGCGGAGGAAAUCGCGCUGCAGCUCGGCGUCGAGCGCGAUGUGGACUUCAUCAAGGAUGAGCUGCAGAUGAUGCAGUCAUUCUUGAUGACGGCGGAUGAGGAGCAAAGCCAGAACAAGGUUCUCACUACCUGGGUGAAACAGAUCGGGGUCCUGGCCUACAAGGUGGAGGACAGCCUCAUGGAUUUUGGCCUCCACUCAGAGAAAAAGCCAUUUUUGGGGUGCAUCCCCUGCAAUCCGGGUGAUCGACGCCGCAUCGCCAAGGAGGUGAAGGAGCUGAGGGCCAAAGUGGAGGACGUGAGCAACAGGAACCUGCGCUAUCACCUCAUCAAGGAGAGCUCAGGCUCCAAGCCUACCAUGGCAGAGGAGCAGGCCAGCAUUGCUACUGCGGCAAUGUGUGGCAUCAACGAAGCAAGGCUUGCUGCAUUGGAGCAUGAAGAUUCAUCACAGGUGGACCUCCAUCAGUUGAUUUCCAGCAAGGAUGUGGACCUUAGGGUGAUCGCCAUGUGGGGUAGUAGCGGUGAUCUUGGGAAGACGUCGGCCAUCCAGGAGGUCUAUGAUGACCCAAAGAUAUUGGAAAGGUUUGGAUUCCGUGCUUGGAUUAGGUUGAUGCAUCCUUUCAAUCCACAAGAGUUUCUCCGCAGCUUGGUAAGGCAAUUUUAUGAAAAUUCUCAUGAAGAGGUUGGAAAGCCAUCUUUCAAUCCACAAGAGUUCCUCAGGAGCUUUGUAAGGCAAUUUUAUGAAAACCCCCAUGAUGAGAUUGGAAAGCUAGAACAAGAAACAAGUGUCGGGGCUAAUGUUCUGGCCAAGAUGGAGAAGAUGGAUCAAAAAGAGUGGCAUUGCAUUAAGAAGUACUUUCCCGACAACAAGAAACAAAGUAGAAUCAUCGUUUCCACGCAGCAAGCUGAAAUUGCAAGGUUGUGCACAGAGAAACCAUACCAAGUUUCGGAGUUGAAGCAGUUGUCAUCUGAUCAAACAAUUUAUUUGUUCCACACAAAGUUGCAGAAUUCAGAACAGCAGAUCAGCAUGGAUGGUGUUCAUGUCGCAAUUUGUGACACCAACCACAAAGCAAGGCUUGCUGCGGUGGAGGAGAAACCAAAGGCUAUGCAUGCAUCAUGUUCUGCCGAGCCUGUUUCCGACUCAAACAAAGUUACUACUGCCAAGAAGAAUACAUCAAUGUCCACCGGUGAAAUACAGGAGGAAGACCAGGAACAUAAUAAUGCAGGUGCUGAAAAAGCUCAUAACUCAACUGUUAGAAAGAAGGUUGAUCGCAGCAGGACACUGACACUGGCUGAUGAACUGCUCUGUGGGCGAGAAACAGAGAAAUCUUUUGUUAUCAAGUUAGUUGGCCAACCAGACCACAAUCAAGGCCGUAAGGUGAUUUCAGUUUGGGGAAUGGGGGGUCUUGGAAAAACCACUCUUGUCCGAAGCAUCUACCGAAACCAAGAGCUUGGUGGCUGGAAGCGUGCUUGGGCCACUGCAUUGCGUCCUUUUAACCCUGAAGUGCUCCUUAGAGAUUUGUCUUGGCAGCUUCAGAAUACUGUUCAAGAAAAUCCUGCUGGAGCAACAACAACUGGCAUGCAGAAGAAAAACAUAUCAGGGAUGAAACUUCAAGAGUUGAAGCAGGAGCUAGCUCGGCUACUAACAGAAAAGAAGUGCCUUAUUGUUCUUGAUGAUAUAUCGUCCACUUCUGAAUGGGAGUUGGUCAAACACUGCUUAGAUAAUGCUGAACGGAUCAUAGUCACCACAAGAGAAAAAAAUAUUGCCGAACAUUGUUCAAGAGAAGACAGGAACAUGUACUCUCUUGCAGUUCUGAAAUAUGAUGAGUCACUUGACCUGUUCAUAAAGAAGGAGCCUUCCUAUGGCAGUCACAGAUUUGGCGGAAACCAGGGCAACAACUUGCGCCAUGUGAGCCAUGACUGGCGGCUUGCUGGAUCUGCAGGAAUCAUCUUGUUCGCAGGUUGCGACCGUGCUUGGUGGUUCAACAUCUUUACACUGUGGAUAGGGCGUCUUGCCUGCUCAUCUUGGACUUGCUGGCUCUUCCUCCUCAUUGUAUUCAAAGACAAUAUUGUAAAAACUGAUUUAGCCCCAGCUGUAAUGGAGCAAGCAAGACUUAUCCUGCAAAAAUGUGGUGGACUUCCCCUUGCAAUAACGACCAUCGGUGGAUUCUUAGCCACUAAGCCAAAAACUGCGAUUGAAUGGAGAAAAAUGAAUGACUGUAUUAGCUCUGAACUGGAGAUAAAUCCUGAACUUAUGACAAUAAAGUCAAUUCUUAUGAGGAGCUAUGAUGGUCUACCAUACCAUCUCAAGUAUGCUUUCUUGUACCUGUCCAUAUUUCCAGAAGACCACCGCAUUAGGUGGGGUCGCUUGAUGAGGCGGUGGAUUGCAGAGGGUUACGCAAGGGACAUGCUUGGCAUCACUGCAGCUGAACUUUGUCGAAGGUACUUUGAUGAGCUUUUGGAUAGGAGUAUGAUCCUGCCAGGGGAAGGGAUAGACCAAUACAAACAGAAAAUCAGUUCUUGCCAACUUCAUGAUAUGAUCCGUGAAAUAUGUAUCUCAAAAGCUAGGGAAGAAAACCUUGUUUUCACACUGGAGGAAAGAUGUUGUUUGAGUGAGACACAAGGUGCAAUACGCCAUCUUGUCAUAGGCAGCAACUGGAAAAGGGACAAAGAUGUGCUGGAGAGCAUGCUAGACUUGUCACACGUACGGUCAUUGACCGUGUUUGGAGAGUGGAGAUCGUUUUUCAUCUCCGAAAAUAUGAGGUUUGUGCGAGUGCUUGACUUAGAAGACACACUGGGGUUAAGAGAUCAUCAUCUUGAUCAAAUCGGGCAGCUUCGUCACCUCAAGUACCUUUCUCUUCGAGGAUGUCGCAACAUUUUCUGCCUGCCUAAUUCUUUCAGGAAUUUGAGGCACCUCGGAACACUGGAUGUUAGAGUACUUUGCUGUCCAGGUCAUGUUUUCUUGAGACCACAAGUUUUAGAUGCCGGCUUGAACAGGUAUGAUAUAUUCAAUCUAUACCGCUUCCAGGAGAGGAACCUAGAUGGGAUUAUUCUUCCUAGAGGGAUUGGUAAAUUGAAGGCCCUUCAUGCACUAGGUGCUGUUGAUGUUUCUAGGAGCGGUGGAAAUGCCACUGUAAAAGAGUUUGGAGAGCUUACUCAGCUACGUAAGCUUAAAGUGGGUGGUUUGAGCUACAGAAACAUCAAUGAGUUAUGGUCUGCCAUUGCUGGUCAUAAUCAACUUCUGUCUUUAUCAGUUGAAAUAGGUGACCUGAGGAAAGAGAGGAAUGAGUUAGAUGGCUGUUUGGGUGAGGGUUUGUUGCCACCAAGCAGCCUCGAGAGCCUCACUCUGCUUGGUAAGCUAGUCAAUGUAACAGGAUGGAUCCAUAAGCUCCAGAAUCUCUCCAAGUUGGUGCUAAGGUAUAGCAGAUUGAAGCAAGAUGAUGAUGCCAUACAAGCCCUUGGGUUACUACCAAAUCUUGCAGCUCUACGUUUGAGAAUGUAUUCGUUCGAUGGGACACAGCUACAUUUCCAGAGCUCAUCUUUCCCGAGUCUCAUGGUGCUGGAGUUGUUUUGGUUAGACAACCUCCAGUCGGCGCUGUUUGAAGAAGAGGCAAUGCCCAAGCUCGAGCUGCUACAAGUUGGUUGGUGCAAAAAUCUGAAUGCAUUCUCCGGGCUGCCAGCCCUCACAAGCCUCAAGGAAAUUCGGUUGGAUAGUGAUCUGGAAGAAAGUGUGAAGGAAUCGGUGCAGAGUCAGGUAGCGGAGCAUAUGAAGCACGAGGAGGACAGCAUACACCAUCUCCAUCUGGACCGGCAGAUGCACGGUUCAGAAUUAUUCAGAUUUAGAGGGCUGCAGAAGUCAUCUUUCCCUAGCCUCAUGGUGCUGAAGCUCUUUGGAUUAGACAACCUCGAGUCGGUGCUGUUUGAAGAAGACACAAUGCCCAAGCCUGGGCUGCUACAAAUUGGUGUGUGCAGAGAGCUGAAGGUCAUCUCCGGGCUGCCAGCCCUCACAAGCCUCAAAGAAAUUCAGUUGCCUAAUGCUGGUGACAGUUAUUACAGUAAAAUAUUAGAGGUGCAGAGGGAAGAGGUGGAGAGGCAGAUUUACUCGAGCACCAACCAUUUCCCUAGAUAUACUCCAUUGAAACGGGCCGGAGUAAAUUUCUGCUCUUUGUCUCUCUCGCCUCCUCCUGCUGCCCUGCUGCUUCGCCGGUGCUCCUCCGGCGCGAUUGGCAAGUUCAAGCGAGUUGUGGCUGUCUCAACUGCUCGAGCUCUAUGGCAGCACACCGUGGAUGCAAGAGCAGCCCGGCCCCAGCAUGCGUGCAAGGGCAGUAAUCCUGGCGAUGGACCGACCGCGGAGAGAGCCCGGCAAAUUAAGGGGUGUGGUGGCCCGGUGGGAGUCGUACAGGCGCGCGGCGGCGGCAGCCUCGAUGGCGUCGCCGCUCCGGGGCCGGGCGAAGCCCGUGCAGCGCCGGCGGCGGUGGGGCCCCUCCUCCUCCCUGCUUGGUGGUGGCCGACGCAGGACGGCGCCGCCGGGCUGUGGCGCGGCGCUACUGUGGGGCGCGGGGGCGUGGUGCUGGAGUCGCCGCAAUCGCGGCUGGCCUCGGCAUCCGUGCGGACUGCUGCGUGGCGGUGGUGCACGCUCGUACUGGUGGCGGUUGUGCAGCGGGAUCCCGAUCUGGCUGCGGGCGGCGUGGCCGCAAUGCGGGCGGCGCGGGAGCUGGAGUCGUGCCCUUCUUGGUGCGGUGGCUCGGCCGACGGAUGGCCUGGUGGCCGCUGGUGGUUCCUCCUGCCGCUCCUGGAGAUCCCCUUGUGUCUCCAUGUAGGUGGGAUGGCUGCUGCGUGGCUACGGGGCGGGUGGCGGCGUGCUCGUCCUGGAUCUGGCGUCGGGAUCCGGGCGGACGGCGUGGGUUGGGCAGCAGCCUGGCGUGGCUGUUGCUCCAGCCGUGGGCGGCGGCGCGAGGAGGUCCGACGCAUGGACGGUGAGCUCCUGGUGGCGCGGCCGCUACACGGUGGCUCAGCGGCUCUGCUCACGGCGAUGGCCGGCUUCUUCUCCGGCGUCGGCUCGUCUGCGGGCGGACCGUUUCGACCUUCACUUCAUCUCCUUGUCGUCCGAGCGCUACUCCCAUCAAAAGGCUGGUCCUCUCCUAGCUGCGGUCCAUUGCUCGUCUCGCGCCCGGUGCUGCAGAACCGAGCUCGUCUCGCACACGGUGCAGCAGGACCAAGCUCGUCUCGCGCACGGUGCAGCAGGACUGACCUCUUCCCUCUCUCGGUGCUACAGGACCGAGCUUCUCGCGCUCAGGGCAGCAGGGCGGGUCGGUGGAUGCCAGUUCUGGCCGGCCUAUUGGGUCUCGACACUGGGGGUCACCCAGGAGCCCGUGCCUUGGUGUUGCCCGGUCUCCAUGGCUGUGUGGGCGGCGUGGUUGCCGAGGUGUGGCGUUCGGUGGCGGUGAGUGUUGGCCGAGCUUCAUCUCUUCGUGGUGGUAGUGCUAGGGGUGGUGUUGCUGCGCUCAGCGCCUAUGUAUCUUGUCCUGGCUAUAAUCUUGGUUUGUAUCCCCCACAACCAUUUUUGUGGUGCAUCACCAAGGAGGUGAAGGAGGGCCAAGGUAGAGGAUGUGAGCAACAGGAACCUGCGUUGUGGCCUCAUCAAGGAGUGUUCAGGCUCCAAGCCUACCGCAACAGAGCGCCAGACGGGCAUUGCCACUGCUGCAAUGCUUUGCAUCAACAAAGCAUGGUUUGA